rnacentral:rRNA from 1 species
UACGGAGGGUGCAAGCGUUGUCCGGAAUCACUGGGCGUAAAGGGCGCGUAGGCGGCUCAUGAAGGCUGUGGUGAAAGUCCGGGGCUCAACCUCGGAUCGGCCGUGGCGACUCGUGGGCUGGAGCACUGUAGAGGCGGGUGGAAUUCCGGGUGUAGCGGUGGAAUGCGUAGAGAUCCGGAAGAACACCAGUGGCGAAGGCGGCUUACUGGUCCGGUUCUGACGCUGAGGCGCGAAAGCGUGGGGAGCAAACAGG